AUUGAACGCUGGCGGCAUGCCUUACACAUGCAAGUCGAACGGUAACAGGUCUUCUGCUGCUGACGAGUGGCGAACGGGUGAGUAAUACAUCGGAACGUGCCCAGACGUGGGGGAUAACGAGGCGAAAGCUUUGCUAAUACCGCAUACGAUCUAAGGAUGAAAGCCGGGGACCGCAAGGCCUUGUGCGUUUGGAGCGGCCGAUGGCAGAUUAGGUUGUUGGUGGGAUAAAAGCUUACCAAGCCGACGAUCUGUAGCUGUUCUGAGAGGACGACCAGCCACACUGGGACUGAGACACGGCCCAGAGUCCUACGGGAGGCCGCAGUGGGGAAUGUUGGACAAUGGGCGAAAGCCUGAUCCAGCAAUGCCGCGUGCAGGAUGAAGGCCUUCGGGUUGUAAACUGCGUUUGUACGGAAUGAAAAGGCUCUGGCUAAUACCUGGGGCACAUGACGGUACCGGAAGAAUAAGCACCGGCUAACUACGUG
rnacentral:rRNA from 1 species